GAUGAACGCUGGCGGCGUGCUUAACACAUGCAAGUCGAACGAAGCACCUUGAUUUGAUUCCUCGGAUGAAGAUCUUGGUGACUGAGUGGCGGACGGGUGAGUAACGCGUGAGCAAUCUGCCUUUCAGAGGGGGAUAACAGCCGGAAACGGCUGCUAAUACCGCAUAAUGCAUUGGAUUCGCAUGUUUCUGAUGCCAAAGAUUUUAUCGCUGAAAGAUGAGCUCGCGUCUGAUUAGCUAGUUGGCGGGGUAACGGCCCACCAAGGCGACGAUCAGUAGCCGGACUGAGAGGUUGAACGGCCACAUUGGGACUGAGACACGGCCCAA
rnacentral:rRNA from 1 species